rnacentral:misc_RNA from 1 species
UCUCCGUUGGUGAACCAGCGGAGGGAUCAUUAAAGAGUUGCAAAACUCCUUAAAUACCAUUGUGAAUUCGACCCGAACGUUGCCUCGGCGGAGGAGGUUGCUUGCAGCCUUUCUCCUAACCCGCUAGAAUUGAGCGUCGGAGGAGGCUUCUUGCAGGCAGCCUUUUCUCCUAGCUCGCUAGGGUGAGAUCACCGGAGCAGGCUGCUUGCAGCCUUUCUCUUAGGGUGGGAGCACCGCCAGAGGACUAUAUUAAACUCGUUUCUAUAAGGCCUCUCUGAGUAUCUUAUCAAAUUAAGUUAAAACUUUCAACAACGGAUCUCUUGGUUCUG